AAAAAGUUAGUUUAAUUUAUAAAACAUUGGUUUGUCAAGCCAAAAAUAUUUCUAAUUAAUACUUUUUA
rnacentral:tRNA from 1 species